rnacentral:lncRNA from 1 species
AGUACUAUAUGUGGGUUUGCACCUUUUCGAGAAUCUAAACUUCGUGUCUGCUUGACCUUCCUAAAUACUCCCCCCUUGUAUUACUCAAAUUUUCUCUCUAUCAUUAAAACAAUUCCCUUUUUAAAUUUUCUUUUUCUUUUCUUAUUUUCUUUCUCUCUUCCCUUUUUGCGCAUUUAAUUUAUGGAGGUCUUCUGGGACCUCACAGUAGCAUGAUGGAUAAGGAUGGAAAAUGAUACCUUUUUUGACACCAAUGACACAGAGACUACAGUUUAAUAAUUUCUUUUAAUAAGUGAGAUUUUUUUAAAAAGAAAAAGAGUCCUGAUGAUAGUCAUGUUUAGAAGAUUCUGUCCUUUGUAUCUUUUCUUUUAGUGUCACAAAUUAAUCUUGACUGAGACUGAGUCCAAUUUUUGUUGUUCUCACAGGAAGAUAUAUUUUUUCAUAAUCUUAGAACUUCAAGUUUGACCUUGAUUUCUCUCUCUGUCUUUUUGUACUACAUUGUUUUCUUUUUCCUGAUUACAUAAAAGGGGGGAUUUACCUUUUCUCUCUCUCCUUUUCUGAGCUUCAGUGCAGAGCAACUUGAGUCUCUUCAUUUGUCUCAUUCCUUGUUAAAAACCCAACUGCACUUCUUAUUUCACCUCAUCCCAGGGAAAAGAUGGAAUGUGUCACUAUUGUCUUUCAUCAAUAAAUAUAUUUUUUUCCUUGACCUCUCAUGAUGUAUGUGUAACAAAACUCCUCUUCUCUGAUACUUUACUGCUUGUUUAUUAUCUUUUCUUGAUAUUUUAUAUUAUAGAAGACAAGGAUUUCUGGCUGGAUGGUAAAAUAUUUUUUUUAUCAUUUAUUUUUCUUCUAAGGUGUCACUAAUUCAAAUCCCUUUCUUAAAUUUUGAAGAGAUAGGUAGUGAUAUACUGUCCAAUCCAAAUUUCAUAUCCUCUGCAAAAGCAACACAUUUUUAAACUAAAAUUUAAAUUCUAGUAUAUAUUAUUUGUUUAAAAAUGGUUUUAUAUAACUACUGUUAAUUAAUAUAGUAAUUAAUUAUUAUUUUAACCAAUUAUAUUCAGAGACUAGCAGUUAAGUAUUCUGUAUUAUUCCAAAAUUAUUUUGAAAGUAAUUCAUACAUUUUUGUAUUUCAGAGCUGCAAAAAUAUCUUUAAAAUGUAUAUAAAUAACAUAUUAGUUUUUUCCUCUUAACAUAUUAUUUUAUAAACUUUAUAUGGUAUUUUCAAAUAUAUACUUCAUGGGUGAGCACCCAAAAAUACUUUUGAUUAGAGUACAGCUGCUCCUCGAGUUACAAACAUAGAGUACAUUCCCAAUUAUCUAGAUUGUGGAUUAACCCUGAUUUACAGAACUAAAGUGAUGCUUAAUCCUUUGGCCACCUAACAGUGCUUUCUUUGAAGUUUGAAAGAUUUCAGAUUGCUGACAUCAUCAAUGAGAUAAUUUAUAUAAUGGCCAGUAAUAUAUUAAUAUUACUGGUUUAAUUUUAACACACAAUCCUACUUUGAUGUCUUGGCCAACAAAUUCAGUCCUUAGAAAAAAUUUAGGGCUCCUAUUUUAGUUAUGUAAUUUUUUAAGAACUAUACUGCAUCAAGUUAUUGGGUGGAGAAGGAUUUUUUGAAAAUUAUUGAAAUCCAACUAGUCACUCAAUUUUUCCAUACACUCCCAUAUAUUUUAAAGAUGUCAGUACAAUUCUGGCAAAUCACUGCAUAAGUUAGAAAUUGAAGAUUUUUUUUUUGCCUUUACAUAAAACACCAUCAUAAAUCAGCCUACUUCACUACAUGGUGUAUCUAGAACAGUAAAGUUGUAGGAUAUAGACAUUGAAAAUUUUGAGGUCUAUUAAAUGUUUAUACUUAUAUUCAUAUAUUUUAAGCCAGUUUUAGAAAUAGGAAAAAAAUAAUAAAGAUUUUAAUACUAAAAUAUAAAUAAAAUAUCUAUUGCUUACAUUGCAGGAAUUUGGCCAUUUUUGAAUAACCAAAAAUUAUUAUUAUUAUUAUUAUUAUUAUUAUUUUUUUAUAGAAAAA